rnacentral:rRNA from 1 species
GGGCGGGCAUGGAUGCUUAAAUGAACCGCGAGUCUGUCUGGAAUAUUGAACCGGUAACUCACGAUGAGAAACCCAACAAUCCCACCGGGUGUGACGGUGGAGAACCUGAGCGGCAGUGACCUGCGGCAUGCCCGCAGGGUGAUGUAACCCGCUGACAACGGGGAUUGAGGCGAGAUCACUAAGCCGAGAUGAUCCUCAAGGUUAAGUACUGAAAGGCUGAAGAACAUGAACCCGUUAAUCCGCCUCUGUGGGUUGAAAACGUCACCACGGCCUACGUGAUCUGACAGGCCGUGCAGGAGGAACUGGCAGUGAUACGUAAGCACUGCCGGUCGAAGGUGUUUUGACAUGUAUGCGAAACACCGGGGCAGCAGCGUCUAUCACGCUUGCGUUGCU